ensembl:snoRNA U8 U8 small nucleolar RNA
UCAUCAGGUAAGAUAACCCUUACCUUUUCCUCUAUUCUGAGGGCACAUAGAACAUGAUUAUUGGAGUUCACGUGAUUUGUGAUUGUUGUUUCUGCAUGAUUUGACUUGAAGCACCAUGAUCACUCCUCUCUGAU